ACCUGGCUGGCUCAGUCAGUAGAGCAUGAGACUCUUGAUCUUGGGGGCAUGAGUUCAAGCCCCAUGUUGGGCA
rfam:Ailuropoda melanoleuca scaffold1073_29, whole genome shotgun sequence.